rnacentral:rRNA from 1 species
AGUAUUAGAUAUUUCAUUGACGUACACAAUUAACUUUACUACUUGAACUACAUAUGGUAGCCCAGACACACUGUGCACUAUGCCAACACCUGUGUUCAACCUUCAAAAGGUUUGUAUAUAGAGUAAACAGCAAGAUCUCCAAUUUACGGUCUAAGGUUCUUCCCACAACACCAAUGUUUUAUAUUAUAGUAGUUAGGCAACUAAGCCAUAGAAAUAAGUAUAUAUAGGGAUGGCAAAAGUGGUGCCAGCAGUCGCGGUUAUACCUCUACCCCAAGUUAAUUUUUGACAAACCUAUGGUAAAGUUUACUUAAAGACCUCAAGAUCAACUUCCUACGUAAAAAAUACAUUAUAACCACAACCAACUAAGUCUUACUCACUUCACCCAUACAAACCACAACCUCAGAACUCGGAUUAGAUACCCGACUACUGUGUGGCCUAACACAUAAAAGAAUACUACAAACGAAAGUUUAAAACUCAAACAAUGUGGCGGUGCUUUACUUCCUCAUCAGGGGAUCCUGUGGCUUAAAUCGAUAACCCACGAUAACCCCAAGCCUUCCUUGUAUCACAGCUUGUGUAUGGCCGUUUAAGCUUGCUCAGAAAAGAAAACAAAGGAGGCAAUCAGGCUUACAACCUCAUAAUUCAGGUGACACACAGCCAAUGGAAAGCUGCUCCAUGGGAUACAAAUAGCUAAAACUACUGAAGUUAAACCUUAAAAGUCAAACGAAAGAGGACUUGAAAGUAAGAUUUUACACACCAAGUAAAUCUGAAUAAGAACUAAAGCGCGCACAAAUCGCCCGUCACUCCGACAAUAAAGUCGGAUAAGUCGUAACACAGUAGGAGUAAUGGAAAUUGCCCCUAUAAAUAA